AGCGGCGGAUGGGUGAGUAACACGUGGGGAACCUGCCCCUAAGUCUGGGAUACCAUUUGGAAACAGGUGCUAAUACCGGAUAAUAAAGCAGAUCGCAUGAUCAGCUUUUGAAAGGCGGCGUAAGCUGUCGCUAAGGGAUGGCCCCGCGGUGCAUUAGCUAGUUGGUAAGGUAACGGCUUACCAAGGCGACGAUGCAUAGCCGAGUUGAGAGACUGAUCGGCCACAUUGGGACUGAGACACGGCCCAAACUCCUACGGGAGGCAGCAGUAGGGAAUCUUCCACAAUGGACGCAAGUCUGAUGGAGCAACGCCGCGUGAGUGAAGAAGGUUUUCGGAUCGUAAAGCUCUGUUGUUGGUGGAGAAGGAUAGAGGUAGUAACUGGCCUUUAUUUGACGGUAAUCAACCAGAAAGUCACGGCUAACUACGUGCCAGCAGCCGCGGUAAUACGUAGGUGGCAAGCGUUGUCCGGAUUUAUUGGACGUAAAGCGAGCGCAGGCGGAAAAAUAAGUCUAAUGUGAAAGCCCUCGGCUUAACCGAGGAACUGCAUCGGAAACUGUUUUUCUUGAGUGCAGAAGAGGAGAGUGGAACUCCAUGUGUAGCGGUGGAAUGCGUAGAUAUAUGGAAAAACACCAGUGGCGAAGGCGGCUCUCUGGUCUGCAACUGACGCUGAGGCUCGAAAGCAUGGGUAGCGAACAGGAUUAGAUACCCUGGUAGUCCAUGCCGUAAACGAUGAGUGCUAAGUGU
rnacentral:rRNA from 1 species